AUUGCCUCAGAAUAACCGGAAGGAGAUGGAAUAGAUAGACGCCGUCCGGUUCAGACAGAGGCGCACAAUGACUCCGAAUCGGUUUGAGGGAAAGGAACUAUAACUAGUUGUGUAUUCUCACUUCUUGAACGUUCCUUUCCUAGAUUGAUUCGGAUAUUU